GCUGGGCAUGGUGAUGUGUGCCUGUAGUUUCAGCUGCUGGGGAGGCUGAGGCAGGAGGCUCACUUUGAGCCCAGGAGUUCAAGACCAGUUUGUGCAACAUAGCAAAAUCCUGUCAA
rnacentral:sRNA from 1 species